GACGAACGCUGGCGGCAUGCCUAACACAUGCAAGUCGAACGGAGAUAUUUGGAAGCUUGCUUUUGGAUAUCUUAACGGCGGACGGGCGAGUAACGCGUGAGCAACCUGGCCUUCAGAGUGGAACAACGUCUGGAAACGGGCGCUAAUACCGCAUAAUACAAGAGAGUCGCAUGGCUUUUUUGUCAAAGGAGAAAUCCGCUGAAGGAUGGGCUCGCGUCCGAUUAUCUAGAUGGGGUGGUAACGGCACACCAUGGCGACGAUCGGUAGCCGAACUGAGAGGUUGAUCGGCCGCAUUGGGACUGAGACACGGCCCAGACUCCUACGGGAGGCAGCAGUGGGGGAUAUUGGUCAAUGGGGGAAACCCUGAACCAGCAAUGCCGCGUGAGGGAAGAAGGUCUUCGGAUUGUAAACCUAAGUAGUCAGGGACGAAAGAAAUGACGGUACCUGAAGAGUAAGCUCCGGCUAACUACGUGCUAGCAGCCGCGGUAAUACGUAGGGAGCGAGCGUUGUCCGGAUUUACUGGGUGUAAAGGGUGCGUAGGCGGGAUGGCAAGUCAGAUGUGAAAUACCGGGGCUUAACUCCGGGGCUGCAUUUGAAACUGUCGUUCUUGAGUGAAGUAGAGGCAGGCGGAAUUCCUAGUGUAGCGGUGAAAUGCGUAGAUAUUAGGAGGAACACCAGUGGCGAAGGCGGCCUGCUGGGCUUUAACUGACGCUGAGGCACGAAAGCAUGGGGAGCAAACAGGAUUAGAUACCCUGGUAGUCCAUGCCGUAAACGAUGAUUGCUAGGUGUGGGGGGACUGACCCCCUCCGUGCCGGAGUAAACACAAUAAGCAAUCCACCUGGGGAGUACGACCGCAAGGUUGAAACUCAAAGGAAUUGACGGGGGCCCGCACAAGCAGUGGAGUAUGUGGUUUAAUUCGACGCAACGCGAAGAACCUUACCAGGUCUUGACAUCCAACUAACGAGGUAGAGAUACGUCAGGUGCCCUUCGGGGAAAGUUGAGACAGGUGGUGCAUGGUUGUCGUCAGCUCGUGUCGUGAGAUGUUGGGUUAAGUCCCGCAACGAGCGCAACCCUUGUGAUUAGUUGCUACGCAAGAGCACUCUAAUCAGACUGCCGUUGACAAAACGGAGGAAGGUGGGGACGACGUCAAAUCAUCAUGCCCCUUAUGACCUGGGCUACACACGUACUACAAUGGCCGUUAACAAAGGGAAGCAAAGCCGCGAGGCGGAGCAAAACCCCAAAAACGGUCCCAGUUCAGAUUGCAGGCUGCAACUCGCCUGUAUGAAGUUGGAAUUGCUAGUAAUCGCGGAUCAGCAUGCCGCGGUGAAUACGUUCCCGGGCCU
rnacentral:rRNA from 1 species